GACGAACGCUGGCGGCGUGCUUAACACAUGCAAGUCGAACGAAGUGGCGAACGGGUGAGUAACGCGUAAUCAACCUGCCCUUCAGCGGGGGACAACAGUUGGAAACGACUGCUAAUACCGCAUACUGAAGGCGGGGAUUGAGUCUGAUUAGCUAGUUGGAGGGGUAACGGCCCACCAAGGCGAUGGUCAGGAGCCGGUCUGAGAGGAUGAACGGCCACAUGGGGACUGAGACACGGCCCAGACUCCCACGGGAGGCAGCAGUGGGGAAUAUUCCGCAAUGGACGAAAGUCUGAAGGAGCAACGCCGCGGGAGUGAUGACGGCCUUCGGGUUGUAAAGCUCUGUUAAUCGGGACGCGGUACCGGAAUAGAAAGCCACGGCUAACUACGUGCCAGCAGCCGCGGUAAUAC
rnacentral:rRNA from 1 species